UCUUCCUUUCUUUCUUUUUUUCCCCCCUUUUUCUUCCUAUUUUUCUGAAGAUGGUCCCCCAUUGAUAUCCCUCGCCUAUCGAUCUAUCUGCCGACCAUAACACCACACUACGGUUUCGAGGUUCAUUUCAGAGAAACAGGAGUGCAAAAGGAGGCUAUCUUUGCCCAACGUAUGCCAUCGUCCACACCCUGGGAUUAAGAGCCUCAUGCUCUACCGACUGAGCUAGCCGGGCUCACACUGCAGCUGUAGGCCACAUCUGUGAUUUGGCCAAUCGGGAACUCCAGAGUACAUCUGACCACGGAACUUGGUACAGUGACUGGAGAUGUUCCAACCGGAAGAUAAAUUCCGCCACCGGCAUUCCCUUCGGGUCUCCGUCGAAGAUCAGGCCCCACCUUCGGAUGUGACUGCUCUCCUGCCUCGUAUCCCCGAUGCUCGUGCGGUUUCCUUGAUAAUGUCCACUCUCAUUACCCGUUUAUUGCAUCCAGCACGAUACGGGAACUUGUCGUUGUUAGGCUUGUUUCUGAUGUUCCGAUUCCAACGCUCGAUUAUCCACAAAAAGGGAUGAGACUACUUCCCUAAUUUCUCGCAUGAAACUUAACGUGCUGGCCUCCAUUGUCUCUUUAAAAGCGCUCAAUUCCUGCGACAGCGAUGCUCUGUAGGUCUUGUGCGCUUGGGCUACCGCUAUAGCCGACUUCAGCUCACUGGGUAGCUCCACUUCGCUCCUGGUUUGUUGCGUUGAUGACGGGGUACCCGCUACAUCGUCUCGGCUACGCAUUCCGACUAGAGAAGUACUCUCCAUUUCUUCGUGCGCAUCACUGAUUGACAAAAUGAGCAUCACUAUUGCCUUGGUUAGAGCCGAUCAGCUGCCUUUGGCUCACUCUGCCGCAAUUAGGCGGGAACAAACUCACUGAUGUGUUGGUACAAUCCGAGUCGUCUCACGGUCUCCGGGCUUUGAUUUCCUGGGUCCUGAGUCCAGUUGGCCGAUUUCCUCCUUGAUGGUGGCGAUGAAUAGUUCCGCCUGUUGCUGCCGCCGAUUUGUAUGUUGAUGGUCCCCCAUUGAUAUCCCUCGCCUAUCGAUCUAUCUGCCGACCAUAACACCACACUACGGUUUCGAGGUUCAUUUCAGAGAAACAGGAGUGCAAAAGGAGGCUAUCUUUGCCCAACGUAUGCCAUCGUCCACACCCUGGGAUUAAGAGCCUCAUGCUCU
rnacentral:sRNA from 1 species